CUCGGGAGAGAAGUGAGAUGGC
rnacentral:miRNA from 2 species